UGGGGAAUAUUGCACAAUGGAGGGAACUCUGAUGCAGCAACGCCGCGUGCGGGAUAACGGCCUUCGGGUUGUAAACCGCUUUCAGCCAUGACGAAGCUUUUGUGACGGUAGUGGUAGAAGAAGCACCGGCUAACUACGUGCCAGCAGCCGCGGUGAUACGUAGGGUGCGAGCGUUGUCCGGAAUUAUUGGGCGUAAAGAGCUUGUAGGCGGUUUGUCGCGUCGAUAGUGUAAACACGCAGCUUAACUGUGUGCCUGCUGUCGAUACGGGCUGACUAGAGGAGGGUAGGGGAGAAUGGAAUUCCCGGUGGAGCGGUGGAAUGCGCAGAUAUCGGGAGGAACACCAGUGGCGAAGGCGGUUCUCUGGACCUUUCCUGACGCUGAGAAGCGAAAGCGUGGGUAGCAAACAGG
rnacentral:rRNA from 1 species